GACGAACGCUGGCGGCGUGCCUAAUACAUGCAAGUCGAACGCAGUGGGGACGGGUGAGUAACACGUGGGUAACCUCCCAUCAGAGGGGAUAACACUUGGAAACAGGUGCUAAACCGAUACUGAUGGAUGAACCCGCGGUGCAUUAGCUAGGUGGUGUGGUAACGGCGCACCAAGGCCAGGAUGCAUAGCCGACCGGAUAGGGGGGGCAGCCACACUGAGACUGAGACACGGCCCAGACUCCUACGCGAGGCAGCAGUAGGGAAUCGUCGGCAAGGGACGAAAGUCUGACCGAGCACCGCCGCGUGAGGGAAGAAGGGUUUCGGAUCGUAAAACUCUGUUGUUAGAGAAGCGGUAUCUAACCAGAAAGCCACGGCUAACUACGUGCCAGCAGCCGCGGUAAUAC
rnacentral:rRNA from 1 species